rnacentral:lncRNA from 1 species
UCUUUACCUAUUUAUAUGGGACGUCCUAUAUGGAUAAGGGGUUGGAUUUUGGAUGAAAAUCAGAGAUAUUUAGUGUGUGAUAAGAGAGAAAAAAUUUAAAAAAAAUUGAGAAAAAGAUAAGAAAAAAAUUGAGAGGAAAAGUUGUAAGAAGGGUGGUGAGAAAAAUAGCAAGUGUUGCUACCUUAUCCUAGGGUUUGAUUUUUUUCAUGUGUUGGAGUACAAAAUUAAAUCCUAGGUUGUGAAAUUUUUGGAGAAAAUUCUCUUAGUGGGAUCUUGA